rnacentral:lncRNA from 10 species
UAGAAGCCCAAGAUUGCGAUGCCAGCAAGGUUUUGGCAGAAAUGUGAAUAUAAGCAAGCAUACUAUGAGAUACAUGAUCCAGUCACUGUAACCUUCUUUGGAACUAGUAUUGAUCCAGCAGCAGCUUUCAGUACUGAUCCUAAAAACAAAUAAUAUGAUCGGAUCAGAUCAUCACAAAGGGAGCAGGAAUUUGAAGGAUGUAUCUGGGUUAUUCAAACCGAAAACACCUAACUCCAGUUCAUUAAAAAUCAUUUCAUAUUUGUAUAAAAAUAAUUUUUAAAAGAGUCUAGAUGUAGUUAUAAUUUUAAAAGUAGUCAUAUUUCUAGAACCUUCUUUAAAUUCUUGUUAUUUGAAUAUGAAAUUAUUGUAAAUCCAUUGAAUAAAUAACUAUAUUCAUAUAAAAUUUCAAACUAAUACAUACAUUAGAAGUAAGUAUAUUUAUUUCUCAUUGAGAUGAAAUAUUUUUGUCCCACAAUAUUAGAUUUGUAUAUGUGUUUGUGUGUUUGUGUAUUUUAAGUAAUUAAACUUUGAGUUUCAUUUUAAAACUGUGAGAGUAUUUUAUUACAUAAAAAAUUUUCAGACCGAAUGGAAUCUAGAUAUGGAAAGCCUAUCUCUCUCAUAUCUAAAAAUUCUGAUCUAUUUUAGCAGUUUUAUGUGGUUACAUAUAGAAUGAACCCACAGCAUCUAGAUAUUUUUCCAAAUCUGACAAAAAUUUUAGUUACAUCUAGACAAAUAUUUAGACCUCUCGAGUCUAUAAUAUUGCGUGAAAGAAACCCAGUAUAGAAUUUUAUUUUCUUUAUUUUGGGUAAUAUUGUAUUUAAGAUGAC